GUAAUGUUUAUACUCAUGUACCUAACAAUGUGUAAUGUUUAUGCUUAUGUAUAAUGAAUAUUCAUGAAGUAGCUGGAAAUAAAUGUAGAACAACUGUAUUCUUUGGGUGUGACAGGUGUUGGGAGUUGUUGGGCCCCUUCCCUGAUCACCCAGCGCUGAAUUUGCUUUUAUCAUAUAAUAAAUUCUGAUUGGAAAUCGCCCGACUGGGUCUCUGUUUCUCACACCACUGUCCCCACUGACUGUCCACCAAAACCACAGCCAAGGGAACUGGCUGGGCUGAAUCACUGAGGAAAGAAGACCCCGUGGAGCUUGACUCCAGCCUGGUGCUGUCAAGAGACAUGAGAGGUGGAGAACAAGGAGGAGGCCGGGCACACGCUACUCUGAUGGUUUUGUCACUUACCCACUGAGGGGGGGGGCGAGCCCCGAGGGGGGCUCUCACUUCUGGCACCAAGCACCUGGGCUCCAGGGACCAGGUAACAAUGGGAGUGCACAUGGGAAGCCACUGGAGGCUUUUGCUUCCCUCGGUGGGGAUCCGCGGGGCUGGGGCUGGGCUGCGAUGGGGGAACCCACCGUCACAGGGGGUGGCAGUGGCAGGCGGCCCCUCGCUGAUCAGUGCAGGGCUCCGGCUGCUCCCAUCUCCCACCACACAGGAGACCUGGUGGCCCUCGAGCCAGGGCCACCCACCCUUGGCACGCCUGGGCUGGGUGGGGCAGACAUGGCAUCCCACUCCCGUGCCCCGCUUCCCCCUGCCUGGCGGAUCCCGCUGCCGCAGGUAGGCCUGCUCCCCGUUCCUGGGUUCGCCUGGUACACCUGGGCUCCGGGAAUGGACUUGGCCUGGCCGCUAGAGGAGUGUCUUCCAUCCGGAUGGGGUUCGGGCUUUUUCAAUGGCUUUAGUCUUUCAUCUGCUCCUCUCCUCUCCACGGCCAAAGGGACACCACUCUGGCUCGCCUGUGAACAAAGGCAAUCGCAGACAGUCAUCUCAUUAAGCAUUAAAUCAACAUCUGAC
rnacentral:ncRNA from 1 species